CCCUUAGAUGUUCUGGGCAGCACGCGCGCUACAAUGGUCUUCGCAAACGGAUGCAUUCUCGAAGGAGAAUGCCAAUCUUGGAAUCUAUGCUUUGGUCGGGACAGUUGCUUGCAAUUUUUCGACUCGAACCAGGAAUUCCUUGUAAUCGUGAUUCAUCACAUCACGAUGAAUACGUCCCUGCCCUUUGUACACACCGCCCGUCGCUCCUACCGAUCGAAGAGUUAGGUGAAUUGUUUUGAUCGAUAAGAUUUGACUAUGGUCAACUCUCGUUGUGAAAUUCUGUGAAUCUGACUGUUUAGAGGAAGGAAAAGUCGUAACA
rnacentral:rRNA from 1 species